rnacentral:rRNA from 1 species
UACGUAGGUGGCAAGCGUUGUCCGGAAUUAUUGGGCGUAAAGCGCGCGCAGGUGGUUUCUUAAGUCUGAUGUGAAAGCCCACGGCUCAACCGUGGAGGGUCAUUGGAAACUGGGGAACUUGAGUGCAGGAGAGAAGAGUGGAAUUCCAGGUGUAGCGGUGAAAUGCGUAGAUAUCUGGAGGAACACCGGUGGCGAAGGCGGCAUCCUGGACCAACACUGACGCUGAGGAGCGAAAGCAUGGGGAGCGAACAGGG